GGUAACCCUUACGGGAGCCAGCCGCCGAAGGUGGGGCAAAUGAUUGGGGUGAAGUCGUAACAAGGUAGCCGUAUCGGAAGGUGCGGCUGGAUCACCUCCUUU
rnacentral:rRNA from 1 species